rnacentral:tRNA from 1 species
GGUCCCAUCGUCUAGUGGCCUAGGACACGGCCCUCUCAAGGCUGUAACACGAGUUCGACUCUCGUUGGGAUCA